rnacentral:rRNA from 1 species
UACGUAGGGUGCGAGCGUUGUCCGGAAUUAUUGGGCGUAAAGAGCUUGUAGGCGGUUUGUCGCGUCUGCUGUGAAAUUUCGGGGCUCAACCCCGAACUUGCAGUGGGUACGGGCAGACUAGAGUGUGGUAGGGGAGACUGGAAUUCCUGGUGUAGCGGUGAAAUGCGCAGAUAUCAGGAGGAACACCGAUGGCGAAGGCAGGUCUCUGGGCCACUACUGACGCUGAGAAGCGAAAGCAUGGGAGCGAACAGG